GAUGAGGUGGUCUAGCGGUUAGAACGCUGGCCUUGUAAUCCUGGGGGCUCGGGUUCGAUUCCUGUUCAUAUGG
rfam:Zootermopsis nevadensis contig26211, whole genome shotgun sequence.